rnacentral:rRNA from 1 species
UACGGAGGAUGCGAGCGUUAUCCGGAUUUAUUGGGUUUAAAGGGUGCGUAGGCGGACUGUCAAGUCAGCGGUAAAAUACGGGGGCUCAACCUCCGCCCGCCGUUGAAACUGUGUCCCUUGAGUGCGCGAAGGGUAGGCGGAAUGCGUGGUGUAGCGGUGAAAUGCAUAGAUAUCACGCAGAACCCCGAUUGCGAAGGCAGCAUGCCGGCUUCCUACUGACGCUGAAGCACGAAAGCGUGGGUAUCGAACAGG